rnacentral:rRNA from 1 species
CCUACGGGAGGCAGCAGUGGGGGAUAUUGGACAAUGGGGGGAACACUGAUCCAGCGACGCCGCGUGAGUGAAGAAGUAUUUCGGUAUGUAAAGCUCUGUCAGCAGGGAAGAAAGAAAUGACGGUACCUGACCAAUAAGCCUCGGCUAACUACGUGCCAGCAGCCGCGGUAAUACGUAGGGGGCGAGCGUUAUCAGGAUUUACUGGGUGUAAAGGGAGCGUAGAGGGAUAGUUAAGUCUGGAGUGAAAGGCCGGGGCCAAACCCCGGGACUGCUCUGGAAACUAUUGAACUUGAGUGCAGGAGAGGUAAGCGGAAUUCGUAGUGUAGCGGUGAAAUGCGUAGAUAUUAGGAGGAACACCGGUGGCGAAGGCGGCUUACUGGACUGUAACUGACACUGAGGCUCGAAAGCGUGGGGAGCAAACAGGAUUAGAUACCCGAGUAGUC